CAUACAUACGACGAUAUGAUUGUAUUAUGAUAUGCAUAAACGGACGUUAUGUCCAUGAUACUCACACUUACGAGUAUGUAAUCUAAAAAUCAUGUUAUGUAAACGUUUGUAACGUUCUUGUGAUACCAAAUAAACCGCUAAUCCACCAAAAAGGAUUAACAUAAGUCCGAUUACAUUAAUUAAUAUUGCUUCGUCUACAAGAUUUGGAUAAUUAUUUCUGAAAUUACGUAUUAUAAUAAAUGAAAGGGUGACUCAUACGUUAUUGUGUCAUAAGUUUAUACUUA